rnacentral:tRNA from 1 species
GCCUGGGUGGCUCAGUCGGUUAAGUGUCUGACUUCAGCUCAGGUCACGAUCUCACAGUUCGUGGGUUUGAGCCCCACACGGGGCU